GUUAUAUGGUCAAGUGAAGAAGCGCAUACGGUGGAUGCCUUGGCAGUCAGAGGCGAUGAAAGACGUGGUAGCCUGCGAAAAGCUUCGGGGAGUCGGCAAACAGACUUUGAUCCGGAGAUGUCUGAAUGGGGGAACCCAGCCAUCAUAAGAUGGUUAUCUUGUACUGAAUACAUAGGUGCAAGAGGCGAACCAGGGGAACUGAAACAUCUAAGUACCCUGAGGAAAAGAAAUCAACCGAGAUUCCCUUAGUAGUGGCGAGCGAACGGGGACUAGCCCUUAAGUGGCUUUGAGAUUAGCGGAACGCUCUGGAAAGUGCGGCCAUAGUGGGUGAUAGCCCUGUACGCGAAAAUCUCUUAGUCAUGAAAUCGAGUAGGACGGAGCACGAGAAACUUUGUCUGAAUAUGGGGGGACCAUCCUCCAAGGCUAAAUACUACUGACUGACCGAUAGUGAACUAGUACCGUGAGGGAAAGGCGAAAAGAACCCCGGAGAGGGGAGUGAAAUAGAUCCUGAAACCGUAUGCGUACAAGCAGUGGGAGCCUACUUUGUUAGGUGACUGCGUACCUUUUGUAUAAUGGGUCAGCGACUUAUUUUCAGUGGCGAGCUUAACCGAAUAGGGGAGGCGUAGCGAAAGCGAGUCUUAAUAGGGCGUCUAGUCGCUGGGAAUAGACCCGAAACCGGGCGAUCUAUCCAUGGGCAGGUUGAAGGUUGGGUAACACUAACUGGAGGACCGAACCGACUACCGUUGAAAAGUUAGCGGAUGACCUGUGGAUCGGAGUGAAAGGCUAAUCAAGCUCGGAGAUAGCUGGUUCUCCUCGAAAGCUAUUUAGGUAGCGCCUCAUGUAUCACUGUAGGGGGUAGAGCACUGUUUCGGCUAGGGGGUCAUCCCGACUUACCAAACCGAUGCAAACUCCGAAUACCUACAAGUGCCGAGCAUGGGAGACACACGGCGGGUGCUAACGUCCGUCGUGAAAAGGGAAACAACCCAGACCGUCAGCUAAGGUCCCAAAGUUAUGGUUAAGUGGGAAACGAUGUGGGAAGGCUUAGACAGCUAGGAGGUUGGCUUAGAAGCAGCCACCCUUUAAAGAAAGCGUAAUAGCUCACUAGUCGAGUCGGCCUGCGCGGAAGAUGUAACGGGGCUCAAACCAUACACCGAAGCUACGGGUAUCACGUAAGUGAUGCGGUAGAGGAGCGUUCUGUAAGCCUGUGAAGGUGAGUUGAGAAGCUUGCUGGAGGUAUCAGAAGUGCGAAUGCUGACAUGAGUAACGACAAUGGGUGUGAAAAACACCCACGCCGAAAGACCAAGGUUUCCUGCGCAACGUUAAUCGACGCAGGGUUAGUCGGUCCCUAAGGCGAGGCUGAAAAGCGUAGUCGAUGGAAAACAGGUUAAUAUUCCUGUACUUCUGGUUAUUGCGAUGGAGGGACGGAGAAGGCUAGGCCAGCUUGGCGUUGGUUGUCCAAGUUUAAGGUGGUAGGCUGGAAUCUUAGGUAAAUCCGGGAUUCUAAGGCCGAGAGCUGAUGACGAGCUAACUUUUAGUUAGCGAAGUGGUUGAUGCCAUGCUUCCAAGAAAAGCUUCUAAGCUUCAGGUAACCAGGAACCGUACCCCAAACCGACACAGGUGGUUGGGUAGAGAAUACCAAGGCGCUUGAGAGAACUCGGGUGAAGGAACUAGGCAAAAUGGCACCGUAACUUCGGGAGAAGGUGCGCCGGUGAGGGUGAAGGACUUGCUCCGUAAGCUCAUGCCGGUCGAAGAUACCAGGCCGCUGCGACUGUUUAUUAAAAACACAGCACUCUGCAAACACGAAAGUGGACGUAUAGGGUGUGACGCCUGCCCGGUGCCGGAAGGUUAAUUGAUGGGGUUAGCUAACGCGAAGCUCUUGAUCGAAGCCCCGGUAAACGGCGGCCGUAACUAUAACGGUCCUAAGGUAGCGAAAUUCCUUGUCGGGUAAGUUCCGACCUGCACGAAUGGCGUAACGAUGGCGGCGCUGUCUCCACCCGAGACUCAGUGAAAUUGAAAUCGCUGUGAAGAUGCAGUGUAUCCGCGGCUAGACGGAAAGACCCCGUGAACCUUUACUAUAGCUUUGCACUGGACUUUGAAUUUGCUUGUGUAGGAUAGGUGGGAGGCUUUGAAGCGUGGACGCCAGUCUGCGUGGAGCCAUCCUUGAAAUACCACCCUGGCAACUUUGAGGUUCUAACUCAGGUCCGUUAUCCGGAUCGAGGACAGUGUAUGGUGGGUAGUUUGACUGGGGCGGUCUCCUCCUAAAGAGUAACGGAGGAGUACGAAGGUGCGCUCAGACCGGUCGGAAAUCGGUCGUAGAGUAUAAAGGCAAAAGCGCGCUUGACUGCGAGACAGACACGUCGAGCAGGUACGAAAGUAGGUCUUAGUGAUCCGGUGGUUCUGUAUGGAAGGGCCAUCGCUCAACGGAUAAAAGGUACUCCGGGGAUAACAGGCUGAUACCGCCCAAGAGUUCAUAUCGACGGCGGUGUUUGGCACCUCGAUGUCGGCUCAUCACAUCCUGGGGCUGAAGCCGGUCCCAAGGGUAUGGCUGUUCGCCAUUUAAAGUGGUACGCGAGCUGGGUUUAGAACGUCGUGAGACAGUUCGGUCCCUAUCUGCCGUGGACGUUUGAGAUUUGAGAGGGGCUGCUCCUAGUACGAGAGGACCGGAGUGGACGAACCUCUGGUGUUCCGGUUGUCACGCCAGUGGCAUUGCCGGGUAGCUAUGUUCGGAAUAGAUAACCGCUGAAAGCAUCUAAGCGGGAAACUAGCCUCAAGAUGAGAUCUCACUGGAACCUUGAGUUCCCUGAAGGGCCGUCGAAGACUACGACGUUGAUAGGUUGGGUGUGUAAGCGCUGUGAGGCGUUGAGCUAACCAAUACUAAUUGCCCGUGAGGCUUGACCAUAUAACACCCAAGCAAUU
rnacentral:rRNA from 1 species